rnacentral:rRNA from 1 species
UCAGACGAUGCGUCAUGCAUAUCAAUAAGCGGAGGAAAAGAAACUAACAAGGAUUCCCUUAGUAACGGCGAGUGAAGCGGGAAGAGCUCAAAUUUGAAAUCUUCAAGGUUUUACCUUGACGAAUUGUAGUUUAAAGAAGUGUUUUCUGUUGAAGUUUUGGUAAAAGUUCUUUGGAAUAGGACAUCAUAGAGGGUGAGAAUCCCGUAUUUGACCAUUAUUUUCAGCUGUGUGAUACACUUUCAAAGAGUCGGAUUGUUUGGGAAUGCAGUCCAAAAUGGGUGGUAAAUUUCAUCUAAAGCUAAAUAUUGGCGAGAGACCGAAUAGCGAACAAGUACCGUGAGGGAAAGAUGAAAAGAACUUUGAAAGGAGAGUUAAACAGUACGUGAAAUUGUCAAAAGGGAAGCGUUUGACACCAGUGUUGUUUUCUCGAAAAUCAAUUAAAAAUGAGUUAGAUUUUGUAUGUGUAUUGACCUUAACAGCUUGCACUGUCAAUUUUCGUGUCUUUUUUUAAUGCACUUUUCGUUUAACAAGUCAACAUCAGUUUCUUUUGUUGUAAAAAGGUCAUUGGAAGGUGGCAUUCUUUUCGGAGAAAGUGUUUAUAGCCUUUGACUCCUGCAAUCGGAGAGACUGAGGUCUGCAGCGUAGAUCCUUCGGGGUUAGAUACAUUUGUGCUAAGUUAUAGCUUUUUAUAGACAACUUGUUGACUAUGAUUAGUCUUGUAGCUUACUCGCUUAUGCUAUUUUACCUACGCUUAGGAUGUUGAGUCGUAGAGCACGCAG